rnacentral:rRNA from 1 species
UACGUAGGUGGCAAGCGUUGUCCGGAUUUACUGGGCGUAAAGAGCGCGCAGGCGGUCGUCCAAGUCGCGUGUGAAAGCCCCCGGCUCAACUGGGGAGGGUCACGCGAUACUGGUCGACUCGAAGGCAGGAGAGGGUAGUGGAAUUCCCGGUGUAGUGGUGGAAUGCGUAGAGAUCGGGAGGAACACCAGUGGCGAAAGCGGCUCUCUGGUCCAAAACUGACGCUGAGGGGCGAAAGCGUGGGGAGCGAACGGG